rnacentral:ncRNA from 1 species
UUUAUAUUUCAUUGACGUACAAAGUUAAUUACACUAAUUAAACUACAUAUGGCAGCAAACACGCACUGUGAUAAACCAAAACCUCACCUGCGCCUUAAACAGGCGUAUCAAGGCCACGGCCAAGACACUACUCAGUAAAUCUUAGGUCUUCAUUGUCACCCACAACACCAAUGUCCUAUAUUAUAGUAGCUAGGAAACUAGGCCUUAGAAAAAAGUAUAAAGAGUGACAAAAGGGGUGCCAGCAGUCGCGGUUACACCCCUACUCUAAGUUAACUAACUCCACCACAGAGAGAAGACUCCAACUCAACCAAGACUACCAAGCCAACUUACAAUGUAAAAAGAUAAAUUUCUAAGCUAAAACCGACUAAGUCAUCUAAAUCUGCUCUUACAAACCACAAAACGAAACUCGGAUUAGAUACCCGACUAUUGCGUGGCCCAACAAAAAGAACACUAAAAGCGAAAGCUUAAACCUCAAACAAUGUGGCGGUACUUUACUCCAUGUCAGGGGAUCCUGUGUCUUAAAUCGAUAAUCCACGAACAAUCAAAGCUCCUCUAGCAAUCAGCUUGUGUAUGGCCGUUUACGCUUGCUCAGAGAAGACUCAAUAGGAAGCAAAGGGAGAAAACCCCAACAAUUCAGGUGACAUACAGCCAAUGAGAAGCUGACCAUGGGAUACAAAUAAACAGCAUUACCAAAUUAGGCCCUAAACUUCCUAUGAAGGAGGACUUGAAAGUAAAAUAACACACAUAAAGUGUAUUUGAAUAAGAACUAAAGUGCGCACAAAUCGCCCGUCACUCCUGCAGCUAAAGCGGGAUAAGUCGUAACAUAGUAGGGGUAAUGGAAAUUGCCCCUAUCC